rnacentral:rRNA from 1 species
CACCGGCAGCCCAAGUGGUGGCCAUUUUUAUUGGGCCUAAAGCGUUCGUAGCCGGCCUGAUAAGUCUCUGGUGAAAUCCCACAGCUUAACUGUGGGAAUUGCUGGAGAUACUAUCAGGCUUGAGGUCGGGAGAGGUUAGAGGUACUCCCAGGGUAGGGGUGAAAUCCUAUAAUCCUGGGAGGACCACCUGUGGCGAAGGCGUCUAACUGGAACGAACCUGACGGUGAGUAACGAAAGCCAGGGGCGCGAACCGGAUUAGAAACCCGGGUAGUCC